CACGUAGGCACCAAGCGUUGUCCGGAUUUAUUGGGCGUAAAGAGCUCGUAGGCGGUUCGGUAAGUCGGGUGUGAAAACUCUGGGCUCAACCCAGAGCCGCCAUCCGAUACUGCUGUGACUAGAAUGCGGUAGGGGAGCGGGGAAUUCCUGGUGUAGCGGUGAAAUGCGCAGAUAUCAGGAGGAACACCAGUGGCGAAGGCGCCGCUCUGGGCCGUGACUGACGCUGAGGAGCGAAAGCGUGGGUAGCAAACAGG
rnacentral:rRNA from 1 species